UGUAAGCGAGUAAGGGCAUGCGGUGGAUGCCUUGGCGCCAGGGGCCGAUGAAGGGCGCGGCACACUGCGAAAAGCCUCGGGGAGCCGUGUGCGGGCGUUAUGACCCGGGGGUGCCCGAAUGGGGAAACCCGCCUGGGGUGAACCCCAGGCAUCCGCGGCUGAAUCCAUAGGCCGCGGAGGGGCACGGGGGGAACUGAAACAUCUUAGUACCCCCAGGAAAAGAAAUCAACCGAGAUUCCCCAAGUAGUGGCGAGCGAACGGGGAAGAGCCUAAACCCACAGGGUGUCCAAGCCCGAGGGCGUUGCCCUGUGGGGGUCGUGGGACCCAUCCGGGGGCGGCCUCGGACGCCUCAGGGAGUUACCAAGCCUUGGCCUAGCCGAAGCGGUCUGGAAAGGCCCGCCAUAGAGGGUGAUAGCCCCGUAGGCGAAAGGUCGAAGGCCUCCCGGGGAUGGGAUCCCGAGUACCACGGCCCACGGGGAAGGUCGUGGGAAGCAGGGGGGACCACCCUCCAAGGCUAAAUACCCCUGGCGACCGAUAGCGCACCAGUACCGUGAGGGAAAGGUGAAAAGAACCCCGGUGAGGGGAGUGAAAUAGAACCUGAAACCGCAUGCCUACAAGCGGUCCGAGGGCUAUGGCCCCUUCGGGGGCAAUGCCUGAGGGCGUGCCUUUUGGAGAAUGAGCCGGCGAGUUACUCUCGGUGGCGAAGGCUAAGGGGGUCACACCCGGAGCCGGAGCGAAAGCGAGUCCGAACAGGGCGUUCCGUCGCCGGGAGUAGACGCGAAACCGGGUGAGCUACCCAUGGCCAGGGUGAAGCGGGGCUAAUCCCCCGUGGAGGCCCGAACCCAUCACCAGUGCAAAGGUGUGGGAUGAGCUGUGGGUAGGGGUGAUAUGCCAAUCGAACCCGGAGAUAGCUCGUUCUCCCCGAAAUAGCUUUAGGGCUAGCCUCACGCGGUCCGUGGCGGAGGUAGAGCACUGGUAGGGCUAGGGGCGUUAUGCUACCGAACCCUGUCAAACUCCGAAUGCCGCCACGUGCAGCGUGGGAGUCGGACCGUGGGGGAUAACCUCCAUGGUCGAGAGGGGAACAACCCAGACCGCCUGCUAAGGCCCCCAAGUCCGGGCUCAGUGGGAAAGGAUGUGGGGCUGCUAUGACAGCCAGGAGGUUGGCUUAGAAGCAGCCAUCCUUUAAAGAGUGCGUAACAGCUCACUGGUCGAGCGGCCCUGCGCCGAAAAUGUAACGGGGCUUAAGCCCGGCGCCGAAGCAGCGGGUUCCCGUGUCGAUGAGGCGCGGGAGCGGUAGGGGAGCGUUCCGCACGCGUGGAAGCGCGACCGUGAGGACGCGUGGAGCGUGCGGAAGUGAGAAUGCCGGCACGAGUAGCGGAAGACGCGUGAGAACCGCGUCCGCCGAAGGCCUAAGGUUUCCGACGCAAGGUCGAUCCGCGUCGGGUUAGGCGGGACCUAAGGCGAGGCCGAAAGGCGUAGCCGAUGGACAGCCGGUUAAUAUUCCGGCCCCACCCGGGUGGAGCGAAGGGGGGACGCAGGAGGGUAGGCCAGCCGGCCGCUGGCUGUGCCGGUGCCAAGUCCUUAGGGCGAUGAGGGCGGUAGGCAAAUCCGCCGCCGGAGCCUGAGGGAUGAUGGCGAGCCGGGGAAACCCGGCGGAAGUGGUCGAGCCCACACUGCCGAGAAAAGCCUCUAAGCGUUGAAGCCCGGGUGCCCGUACCGCAAACCGACACCGGUAGGCUGGCGUAAGCGCGCCAAGGCGGACGGGAGAACCCUCCUCAGGGAACUCGGCAAACUGGCCCCGUAACUUCGGGAGAAGGGGUGCCUCGCGUAGGGUGAGGCCUUCGGGCCGAGCCCGAGGAGGCCGCAGUGAACAGGCCCUGGCGACUGGUUACCUAAACCACAGGUCUCUGCUAACCCGUAAGGGGAUGUAUAGGGGCCGACGCCUGCCCAGUGCCGGAAGGUUAAGGGGAGGGGUGACCCGGCUUCGGCCGGUGUAGCCCUGAACUGAAGCCCCGGUGAACGGCGGCCGUAACUAUAACGGUCCUAAGGUAGCGAAAUUCCUUGUCGGGUAAGUGAGAGCUUGCCCCUUCGUCCCGCGAGGGACGAUGAAACGCCGGCUCAUAUCGGGGGAGCCCUCCUGCCACGGUGCGGGUGGCGUGGGGUAACCCCGAGGGAAGUCGGCCCAACCUUGAAGGUUGGGCCUGACCCCGUAACGACUGACCCGAAAGGGGAGGCGCGGUUUCCCACCCCGCGCAAAACGCCGGCCCUCACCCCUUGCCCUCAACCCGGGCAAGAAGGAAGCGCCUAUGGAGCCUCUUUCCGAAUGAGGUGGGGUGAAAUGCCUCCGCUGGAUCCGUGGUAUGUAACAGGCCUGGUGGACGGCGAAGGUCGUUUUAUGGUGAGUUUCAAUCUCCGGCCUUCCCUGUCCACGGGCAUCGAAGUCCGUCCCGCUUUUGCCGUGGCGUUGAAUCAGCGAUCGCUGGAAGUCUUGAAGAAGCUACAUCGGUUCUUCGGCUGUGGAGCCAUCCGAUAUUCUCGGAGCGAUCGCACCUACAAGUGGGAAGUGCGUUCCGUCCCGGAUAUCGUUCGGCGAGUGCUUCCCCAUUUUGAGCGCUACCCUCUUCAAACGGCUAAGCGGGAGGACUUCGAGCGGUUCGCUCAGAUUUGCCGCUGGGUUUAUGCGAACCACCAUCGAAACCGCGAGUAUCUCAAGCGUAUCAUCGAGCUCGCUUACGAGAUGAACCCGGGCGGCAAACGCCGUUAUCGGAAAGAGGAGCUCCUAAGGGUGCUUGGGUGAGGUGAAGGGAUAGUCUACCGCCAGCGGAAACGCUGGGGAAGAGGUGAAGUUCCGACCCGCACGAAAGGCGUAACGACCGGGGCGCUGUCCCGAGGAGGGUCCCGGCGAAACUGCGAACUGCGUGAAGACGCGCAGUGCCCGCAGCGGGACAAAAAGACCCCGUGGAGCUUUACUGGAGCCUGGUAUUGGGUUAGGGUUUGGCCUGUGUAGGAUAGGUGGGAGGCUGAGAAGCCCGGGCGCCAGCUCGGGUGGAGCCGCCGGUGAAAUACCACCCUGGUCAAAUCUUGGCCCUAACGCCGACCCGUGAACCCGGGCGGCGGACAGUGCCUGGUUGCCAGUUUUGCUGGGGCGGCAGCCUCCUAAAAGGUAACGGAGGCGCCCAAAGGUCCCCUCAGGCGGAAUGGAAACCCGCCGUUGAGUGCAAGGGCAUAAGGGGGCUUGACUGCGAGGCUGACAAGCCGAGCAGGGGCGAAAGCCGGGCCUAGUGACCCCACGGUUCCGUGUGGAAGGGCCGUGGAUCAACGGAUAAAAGCUACCCCGGGGAUAACAGGCUGGUGAGGCCCAAGAGUUCACAUCGACGGCCUCGCUCGGCACCUCGAUGUCGGCUCAAGGCUGGGCCCCUGGGGGGGUAACCCCUCAGGACACAUCCGGCUUAUAACGGGGGAGCCCUAACGACCGGAUCUUUCCGGGAUCGAGGGUAAUCCCGUGGGAAGUCGAGGAGCGAAAUAUGCUGCCAGAGCCUCUCCAUUCUGUCAUCGUGGGGAGCUUGCUCGGAGAUGCGUGCCUGGAGCGCAAUGGGCGUUUCUGGCGAAUCCGCUUCGAUCAUGGAUGGAGGGAGCAGGAUUAUAUCUGGUGGAAGUUCCGGCUUCUGCGCUCCAUUGCGGCUUCGGCCCCGCGUCUGAUUGAGGUGCCGGAUCGGCGGACAGGUCGGGUGUAUCGCCACUUCCGCUUUGACUCAAGGUCCAUCCCUGAGCUAGAGCCAUAUGCAGAGUGGUUCUAUGUGGGUGGACGGAAACGGGUUCCGCCGAUUAUUGGCACGCUCCUGAAUAGCCCGCUGGCUCUGGCAGUAUGGUAUAUGGAUGACGGACAUCGCCGUGUGGAUUGCAGGGCGCUGCGCCUGAACACGCAGGGUUUCCUGCGUGAGGAGGUAGAUCAGCUGAUUGAGACGCUGGCCUGUAACUUUGGUGUGAAGGCACGAAGGCAUCGCGUUCAGGGCGAUCAGUGGGUGAUCUACCUUCCAGCUCGAAUGGCGCAGCGUUUCUGUGAUCUGAUCCGUCCCCAUAUACCCCCAGAGAUGGGAUACAAGCUCCUCUGACCCCGUAACGACUGAGGGCGCAAGGCCCGAGAUGGCCGGCCCUGGGGUCUGAAAGGGAUCCCAAAUCUAUGCUGGCCAUCAGACGCCGGACCCCUGGUAUGGCGAUGGCCAGGGUGAUGAUAUAGUCUGCGCCACCGGAAACGGUGGGGAACGCGCAUCGCAUCCUGGGGCUGGACAAGGUCCCAAGGGUCGGGCUGUUCGCCCGUUAAAGCGGUACGUGAGCUGGGUUCAGACCGUCGUGAGACAGGUCGGUCUCUAUCCGCUGUGGGCGUUGGGGGCUUGAGGGGUGCUGCCCCUAGUACGAGAGGACCGGGGUGGACGGACCUCUGGUGUGCCGGUUGUCGCGCCAGCGGCAUCGCCGGGUAGCCAACGUCCGGACGGGAUAACCGCUGAAAGCAUCUAAGCGGGAAGCCCACCCCAAGAUAAGGCCCCCCACCGGCUUUGACCGGGUAAGGCCGCCGGGAGACUACCGGUUUGAUAGGCCGCAGGUGGAAGCCCGGUAACGGGUGAAGCUGAGCGGUACUAACGGCCGAGGGCUUACACGUGGCGCGGA
rnacentral:rRNA from 1 species